rnacentral:rRNA from 1 species
ANGUUUCGUAGGUGGUUCGCCUGCGAAUUUAGUCUGCUUAGCAGGCAACAUCUUUACUGUGCUAGAAAUUACAAUUGUAUUACUAGCAGCCUGCUUAGCAGGUUCACAGAUCAAAUAGAGGUGGCCCUUAGGGGUUGAGACAUGAUCGAGUUGAUGCUGAAAUAGCACUGAGAAAUUGGAACCUGCGGAAGGAUCAUUAAAGAGUCAUUAUGGGCUUACACCCUAAUACUCCACCCUUUGUUUACAUUACCUUUGUUGCUUUGGCAGGCCCGUCCUUGCGACCACUGGCUUCGGCUGGUCCGCGCCUGCCAGAGGACCUAAAACUCUUGUUAAAUCAUAUUGUCUGAGUACUAUAUAAUAGUUAAAACUUUCAACAACGGAUCUCUUGGUUCUGGCAUCGAUGAAGAACGCAGCGAAAUGCGAUAAGUAAUGUGAAUUGCAGAAUUCAGUGAAUCAUCGAAUCUUUGAACGCACAUUGCGCCCUCUGGUAUUCCGGGGGGCAUGCCUGUUCGAGCGUCAUUACAACCCUCAAGCUCUGCUUGGUAUUAGGCCUCACCCGUUAGGGCGGGCUGUAAAAUCAGUGGCGGUGCCAUUCGGCUUCAAGCGUAGUAAUUUUUCUCGCUUUGGAGUACCGGCUGUGUGCCUGCCAGCAACCCCAAUUUUUAUCAAAGGUUGACCUCGGAUCAGGUAGGGAUACCCGCUGAACUUAAGCAUAUCAAUAGGCGGAGGAAAAGAAACCAACAGGGAUUGCCUCAGUAACGGCGAGUGAAGCGGCAACAGCUCAAAUUUGAAAUCUGGCCUUCUGGUCCGAGUUGUAAUUUGUAGAGGAUGUUUCGAACGUGGUCCGGUCUAAGUUUCUUGGAACAGAACGUCAUAGAGGGUGAGAAUCCCGUAUGCGACUGGGUGCCUAAGUUCAUGUGAAACUCCUUUCGACGA